CCUACGGGAGGCAGCAGUGAGGAAUAUUGGUCAAUGGACGAGAGUCUGAACCAGCCAAGUAGCGUGAAGGAUGACUGCCCUAUGGGUUGUAAACUUCUUGUAUAUGGGAAUAAAAUGUUCCACGUGUGGGAUUUUGUAUGUACCAUAUGAAUAAGGAUCGGCUAACUCCGUGCCAGCAGCCGCGGUAAUACGGAGGAUCCGAGCGUUAUCCGGAUUUAUUGGGUUUAAAGGGAGCGUAGGUGGAUUGUUAAGUCAGUUGUGAAAGUUUGCGGCUCAACCGUAAAAUUGCAGUUGAAACUGGCAGUCUUGAGUACAGUAGAGGUGGGCGGAAGUCGUGGUGUAGCGGUGAAAUGCUUAGAUAUCACGAAGAACUCCGGUUGCGAAGGCAGUUCACUGGACUGCAACUGACACUGAGGCUCGAAAGUGUGGGUAUCAAACAGGAUUAGAUACCCCUGUAGUC
rnacentral:rRNA from 1 species